rnacentral:rRNA from 1 species
AUUGAACGCUGGCGGCAAGCCUAACACAUGCAAGUCGAACGAGUGGCGGACGGGUGUGUACUGUCUGGGAAACUGCCUGAUGGAGGGGGAUAACUACUGGAAACGGUAGCUAAUACCGCAUACCAUCGGAUGUGCCCAGAUGGGAUUAGCUAGUAGGUGGGGUAAAGGCUCACCUAGGCGACGAUCCCUAGCUGGUCUGAGAGGAUGACCAGCCACACUGGAACUGAGACACUGUCCAGACUCCGACGGGAGGCAGCAGUGGGGAAUAUUGAACAAUGGGCGCGAGCCUGAUGCAGCCGUGCCGCGUGUAUGGAGAAGGCCUUCGGGUUGUAAAGUACUUUCAGCGGGGGGGCGUUACCCGCAGAAGAAGCACCGGCUAGCUCCGUGCCAGCAGCCGCGGUAAUUC